UACAGAGGGUGCAAGCGUUGUUCGGAAUUAUUGGGCGUAAAGGGCGCGUAGGCGGAUGGCACAGUCAGAUGUGAAAUUCCCGGGCUUAACCUGGGGGCUGCAUUUGAUACGUGUUGUCUAGAGUGAGGAAGAGGGUUGUGGAAUUCCCAGUGUAGAGGUGAAAUUCGUAGAUAUUGGGAAGAACACCGGUGGCGAAGGCGGCAACCUGGUCCUUGACUGACGCUGAGGCGCGAAAGCGUGGGGAGCAAACAGG
rnacentral:rRNA from 1 species